CUUCCUUACAACCUUGGGCGCUUGAACUAUUGAAAGUAGAUUUAUUGGCAUGCUGGCGACCUGCAGCAACAAAAGAACCUGACCUCCAACCGACAAAACUCUUGCUACCAUCCCCCUAAUGUUUCUCUGAUGCGAGCGACCACCUCCUUAAAAUGGCUGACUUUGAGCCUUCCAGCCACUAUCGGCGUUCCCAGAUAUUUGACAGGGAAAGUCCCUUAUGAAAAUCUUAUUAA